CGCCUAUGAUGACAAAUUAAAAGGCUUGUUUCUCAAAACAUUCGCAGUGGCCGCCUGAGAGCUUUCGCCUUGCCAGGCUUGAGAGCUUGUGCUGCUUACCAAAACCUUCCUUGGAUGUCUGAGGCU